ensembl:snRNA U6 U6 spliceosomal RNA
AUGAUAGCUUCUGCAGCACAUACACUAAAAUUGGAAUGGUACAGAGAAGAUUAGCAUGGCCUUUGUGCAAGGGUGAUAGCAAAUUCAUGAAGUGUUCUGUAAAAAA